rnacentral:rRNA from 1 species
GAUGAACGCUGGCGGCGUGCCUAACACAUGCAAGUCGAGCGAUUCUYUUYGGAGAAGAGCGGCGGACGGGUGAGUAACGCGUGGGUAACCUACCCUGUACACACGGAUAACAUACCGAAAGGUAUGMUAAUACGGGAUGAUAUAUAGAAAUCGCAUGAUUUUUAUAUCAAAGAUUUAUCGGUACAGGAUGGACCCGCGUMUGAUUAGCUUGUUGGCGGGGUAMCGGCCCACCAAGGCGACGAUCAGUAGCCGACCUGAGAGGGUGAUCGGCCACAUUGGAACUGAGACACGGUCCAAACUCCUACGGGAGGCAGCAGUGGGGAAUAUUGCACAAUGGGCGCAAGCCUGAUGCAGCAACGCCGCGUGAGCGAUGAAGGCCUUCGGGUCGUAAAGCUCUGUCCUCAAGGAAGAUAAUGACGGUACUGAGWGAGCCCCMAAAAAUCCCCG